ensembl:ncRNA lncRNA:CR45700 long non-coding RNA:CR45700
CCCAGUGCAAGACUUCAUCUGGGUGCGGCCUGAUCUCGUUCUGGUGGCACAACUAUCAAGUGCUGACAGCUGACUAAGCCGCAGGCAGCAGACAGUUUUAUCGUCCUUUCCUGUCAGUAAUUUGUAGGAACAACAAAGCAGCAGGGCCUCAGUUUGUACUUCAACUGAAAGAUAUUCUCACAACAGUCAAGAUACUCUGAAGUCUACUUGCAAGUUUAGGAGGUGGGAAAUCCUAAAUGAUCUUAUAAAAUCAUAGUGAUAACCACUUUCCUACAGAAGUUCGCUUGCUUUUUGUUACCGACGUAAGGCGAUUAUAAAAUUAAUUCGAGCGGGCUAUAAAACACUUAAUAAGCUGCUUCCUGGCUAAGUGAAAAUCACUGGGUCCACUGCCUCAGAUUGGGAUCGCUUAAUCGAUAGCCCAAGUACAAGCUCGUUAAGAGCACACGAAGCAAACAAAGAUCAACUGGCGGAGCAAAACGGCCAGUCAAAACAAGGCCUCAGAUGGAAAUCGAGAUGAAGAUGGAGUUGGAGAUGGAGCUGGAGCUGGAGCUGGACCUGAACCUGGAGGUUGGCGAUAUGCUGUGUUGGGUAAACAUAAGAAGACGAAGACGGAGUGAAAGACUAACGAUGCCCGAUGUUUAUCGCGCCCCUGGGCGGACGAGGUGCGGAGCGAAAGGGUUCAUUAUGGUCUUUGUGGCCCAAACCCUCGGCAGGCAGGCAGGCAGGGCACGUACAGAGACCCUAGAAAGGGUCUUCGGUUCUCCUCCAGCCAGCAAAUCCCCGCUGCGAGCUGUUAUUUAUCGUGUUUCUGGCUACAAAGCCAGAUUGCCCUGUUGUGAUAAUAAUGCAGAGAGAGAGAGAGGACGAGGCAGGCAGCAAUCAAUUAAAAAGGCAGCCAACCGAUUUCGUAUAGGUGAAAAGUUCUUGGGAAGUGUUGCUAUCCACGGGGUAAUAAAGCAAUUCUAAGCAGAGCAACACAGCGAUUUCGGGUCAGAGAUUACGAUUCGUGUGCCUUUGCUCUUAUCUAUCGAUUGCAUGUAGGACAGCCCGAGGUCCUAAACUCGGCUGCUGAUAAGAAGUUCGUCGAAAGACGUGAUUUAUGAUCAGGUGCAACAAAAGUGGACACAAUGCAGGUAGGUACUAACGUCUGAAUUGAAAACGAUUUCAUUAAAUCGGGAUAUUUGAGACCGGCUUGAUUGCCUUAGUUUCGAUUGUUUGCUUCCAUUCACAUUUCACGCAAUUAAUUAUGGCGAUUUUUGCUAUUUAUAUUAGCUGUAUAAAUCCAUGAUUGCGCUGAGUUGUUUGUUUGUUCGCUAAAUGUCACAUUUUAUACAAUUAAUUAAAACUAUUUUUAUACUAUUUGAAAAGCUUUGUUAUUACAGUGAUAUGUCACGUUUUGCUUUCAAUGAGUGCGUUUUGCAAUUUACACGAUGGAAACACAAAAAUGGAGUUAAGAAAAUAAUUAUUAAAUCAUUAAAUGCAAGCAAAAUACCUAAAACCUAUUAUAUUUGUAAUGAUUUUUGUGUUUUUUCCUACAAUUACCUCACAAUUUAAACUUAAAUAGCUAAUAUAUAAUACAGAUAUAAUGUAUCUUAUAUAACUUAAUCUUGUCUAAAAUAAAUAUACAUAUUCCCAAACUUUGAAACACCCUUCUUUUCGAUCAUUUAGGAUGACAGUCUGUUUAAAAAUGCAAGCCAAAAAAUGUAUUCACUCGAUGGGAACUACGAUUUUCCAGGGAAAUCAUUAUUCAUUGCUUGAAUAUUGUUUUACUCGAAACCAAUCAGGUUUUAUUUCCUCGACGGCAAAGGUCGCAGGCGCAAUUAUGCAAAUUACCUUUGGACGGUUUAUCAUAAACGCGUAGCGUUGACAUUAAUCAUUUAAACGAUUUUGGUUAAAUGUGAGAAUCUUUAGGAAAACUGUCUUUACGCUGGUGACUGGCGCCAACUGACAGUUUUUUCCCUGCUGCUUUGAUUUAUUGUCGUGUGCGUGUGUGUGUGUGUGUGUGUUUAUGUGGAAAAUAUUGUAGAAAUGAUUUAUAAUCCUUAUCUGCGCAGACUGAUCGUGUAAGGGUCACGAGAUAGCCGAGGGAGAUAUACUGAGAAAAGGGAAUGGAUACCAGGUAGUUGGACCACUUCCAUAUGCCGCUUAACCCGCGAAACCUUUCAAAAAAAAAAAAAAACAUUAAAAUAGUUAGGCCAUAUCUGCAUCCCACAAACUUUCACGGCAAACGCCCCAAAGGCUCCAACGUGGAGCAUAUUUCUCUCUUUUCCUCGCCGGCCUGCGAUUAUCAAUUAAAUGGACGAUGGGCGAUGGGCGCGGGUGAAUGUGUGUCAAAGUUCAGGCAUUGGAAACGUGCAGGCCGCAAAAAUCCACAGGCCACAAAGGAUCGAGGAGUGCUCAAAGGGGAGUGGGUGGGUUAGCCGGGGCUAGGACCCACACCCACACUCCCCAGCAACUCCAUUCCCACUCCCCCUCUCCACCGCCACUGAUGACAAGUACUGUGAGUUAUGGCCAUGGCAAGCAAAUAAUUGCGAAAUUACAUUUCCCUCGCCUUCUUCCGACGGCCAUUUGUGACUUGCAUUGAAGCUUACACUGAGCAACAAGCAAUAGUUAAAUAUAGUGUAAAUUAGCAAUACUAAUGGAGUCCCUAAAUACCUAUAUAAAGUAUGAGGAACAGUUCAUUAUGUCCCUGUUAUUUAACUUUCCUAAACACAUAAAAUGGGUAAAAACCAUACAUUUAUCUUUGCCAAUCUGAAACUUUGCUGACCAGUGUCAUUCCUUGGGUCGUCUUUUUUGGCCAGUUCGAUAUGAAAAUGCCUACAAAUUGUUGCUGCCAUUGUUGCCGAUCGGACAGUCAACUAACCAGCCAGCAAUCAUCGGUGGGGCGGAGGAGAGUCGCAGGGGCGGGAUGGCAUGCUUUCAACAUAAAUUUCCAUUAGAUUGCAGCAAGUUGCAUGUGGCAUGAAAGUUUCGCCGCGCCACAGGAAAUAUCUUUCGCCAGCCGCAAAUAAUUCUCCACGUUUGCGUUCGCACUUUGACAUCUGGCCGGGUAAUGGGGAAAUGGGGUGGGGAUUCCUCCAAUUGGGGUCUUUGGGGUCUGCGAUGCACUCUUUGCACUCCGGACUCUUGGGGAUAUUAUAAUAUUUGUCUCUUUGUUGACAUUAAAAUG